rnacentral:rRNA from 1 species
UAGCCUCUUAGCGGGGGAUAACUAUUGGAAACGAUAGCUAAUACCGCAUAAAAGUCGACAUUGCAUGAUGUUGACUUGAAAGGUGCAAUUGCAUCACUAAGAGAUGGACCUGCGUUGUAUCAGCUAGUUGGUGAGGUAACGGCUCACCAAGGCGACGAUACAUAGCCGACCUGAGAGGGUGAUCGGCCACACUGGGACUGAGACACGGCCCAG